UCCUACGGGGGGCAGCAGUGGGGAAUAUUGCACAAUGGGGGAAACCCUGAUGCAGCGACGCCGCGUGAGUGAAGAAGUAUCUCGGUACGUAAAGCUCUAUCAGCAGGGAAGAAAAAAAGUCUUUGGCUUUGGACGGUACCUGACUAAGAAGCCCCGGCUAACUACGUGCCAGCAGCCGCGGUAAUACGUAGGGGGCAAGCGUUAUCCGGAUUUACUGGGUGUAAAGGGAGCGUAGACGGCACGGCAAGUCUGAAGUGAAAGGCAGGGGCUUAACCCCUGAACUGCUUUGGAAACUGCCAUGCUAG
rnacentral:rRNA from 1 species